GACGAACGCUGGCGGCGUGCUUAACACAUGCAAGUCGAACGGAAAGGCCCUGCUUUUGUGGGGUGCUCGAGUGGCGAACGGGUGAGUAACACGUGAGUAACCUGCCCUUGACUUUGGGAUAACUUCAGGAAACUGGGGCUAAUACCGGAUAGGAGCUCCUGCUGCAUGGUGGGGGUUGGAAAGUUUCGGCGGUUGGGGAUGGACUCGCGGCUUAUCAGCUUGUUGGUGGGGUAGUGGCUUACCAAGGCUUUGACGGGUAGCCGGCCUGAGAGGGUGACCGGCCACAUUGGGACUGAGAUACAGCCCAGACUCCUACGGGAGGCAGCAGUGGGGAAUAUUGCACAGUGGGCGAAAGCCUGAUGCAGCAACGCCGCGUGCGGGAUGACGGCCUUCGGGUUGUAAACCGCUUUCGCCUGUGACGAAGCGUGAGUGACGGUAAUGGGUAAAGAAGCACCGGCUAACUACGUG
rnacentral:rRNA from 1 species